UUCAAGUUGUGCAAAUGGUCAAAGUUGUGUAACUGGUCAAAGUUGUGUAACUGGUCAAAGUUGUGUAACUGGUCAAAGUUGUGUAACUGGUCAAAGUUGUGUAACUGGUCAAAGUUGUGUAACUGGUCAAAGUUGUGUAACUGGUCAAAGUUGUGUAACUGGUCAAAGUUGUGUAACUGGUCAAAGUUGUGUAACUGGUCAAAGUUGUGUAACUGGUCAAAGUUGUGUAACUGGUCAAAGUUGUGUAACUGGUCAAAGUUAUGAA